GGGGCAGAGAGCCUGUUAGCCGUGCGCGCUGCGAACGCACCACCAGGAGGGGAGACGCUUCCCACCGUCAGCGCCGGAGCAGAGCAGGGGAGCCCCGGCGACCAGGAGGGACACCGAGUCGGCAGCCCGUUUCUCCCAACAGGAAUGGUGACAGCGCCUGCAGACGGACGGACGUGGACGGACGGACGUGGACGGACAGCGUGGACGGAGGGCGCAGGCCCCCGCGGCGCUUCCCUCCUAUCGUAGGAGGAGGGAUCCAGACUUUGCACCAGGAACCGCACCUUCCGCCUACUCCGCCUUUCAGUAUAAUUUAAUUGGGUUUGGAGGGCAGUGGACACACACGCGUAAGGAUCACCUGGGACGGGCAACUUUGCUACGGCAGCUUCCCGGGAACGAAGGAGCGAGAGCGAAAGGGAAGGAGGGAGGGGAACAAGAGG
ensembl:lncRNA